rnacentral:rRNA from 1 species
CCUAUGGGGUGCACCAGGCGAGAAAACUUUGCAAUGUGCGAAAGCACGACAAGGUUAAUCCGAGUGAUUUGUGCUAAACGAAUCCUCUUUGUUAGUGCCUACAACCACUAGACGCAAGAAGCGCGUGGGCAAGUAAUG